rnacentral:snRNA from 1 species
AAGUCGUUACAGCUCUUUUACUAUUUGUUUAGCAGGUUCUUACUGUGUUGAGCCAACA